rnacentral:rRNA from 1 species
CCUACGGGUGGCAGCAGUGAGGAAUAUUGGUCAAUGGACGCAAGUCUGAACCAGCCAUGCCGCGUGCAGGAAGACGGCUCUAUGAGUUGUAACCUGCUUUUGUACGAGGGUAAACGCAGAUACGCGCAUCUGUCUGACAGUAUCGUACGAAUAAGGAUCGGCUAACUCCGUGCCAGCAGCCGCGGUAAUACGGAGGAUUCAAGCGUUAUCCGGAUUUAUUGGGUGUAAAGGGUGCGUAGGCGGUAGGAUAAGUUAGAGGUGAAAUCCCGAGGCUCAACUUCGGAAUUGCCUCUGAAACUGUUCGGCUAGAGAAUAGUAGCGGUAGGCGGAAUGGAUGGUGUAGCGGUGAAAUGCUUAGAGAUCA